UACGGGGGGGCAAGCGUUGUUCGGAAUUACUGGGCGUAAAGGCUCGUAGGCGGCCAACUAAGUCGGACGUGAAAUCCCUCGGCUUAACCGGGGAACUGCGUCCGAUACUGGAUGGCUUGAGUUCGGGAGAGGGAUGCGGAAUUCCAGGUGUAGCGGUGAAAUGCGUAGAUAUCUGGAGGAACACCGGUGGCGAAGGCGGCAUCCUGGACCGACACUGACGCUGAGGAGCGAAAGCCAGGGGAGCAAACGGG
rnacentral:rRNA from 1 species